rnacentral:rRNA from 1 species
ACGGGAGGCAGCAGUGGGGAAUAUUGCACAAUGGAGGAAACUCUGAUGCAGCGACGCCGCGUGAGCGAAGAAGUAUUUCGGUAUGUAAAGCUCUAUCAGCAGGGAAGAAAAUGACGGUACCUGACUAAGAAGCCCCGGCUAACUACGUGCCAGCAGCCGCGGUAAUACGUAGGGGGCAAGCGUUAUCCGGAUUUACUGGGUGUAAAGGGAGCGUAGACGGCAAGGCAAGUCUGAUGUGAAAGGUGGGGGCUUAACUCCCAAACUGCAUUGGAAACUGUCUGGCUUGAGUGCCGGAGAGGUAAGCGGAAUUCCUAGUGUAGCGGUGAAAUGCGUAGAUAUUAGGAGGAACACCAGUGGCGAAGGCGGCUUACUGGACGGUAACUGACGUUGAGGCUCGAAAGCGUGGGGAGCAAACAGGAUUAGAUACCCUGGUA